UACAGGGGGUGCAAACGUUGCUCGGAAUUACUGGGCGUAAAGCGCGUGUAGGCGGACCCGCAAGUCGGACGUGAAAUCCCUGAGCUCAACUCAGGAACUGCAUCCGAAACUGCGGGUCUGGAGUGGUGGAGAGGGAAGCAGAAUUCCUGGUGUAGAGGUGAAAUUCGUAGAUAUCAGGAGGAACACCGAUGGCGAAGGCAGUUCUCUGGGCCGUAACUGACGCUGAGGAGCGAAAGCGUGGGGAGCGAACAGG
rnacentral:rRNA from 1 species